rnacentral:rRNA from 1 species
GGAUGCGGUCAUACCAACACUAAUCACCGGAUCCUAUCAAAUCUCUGAAGUUAAGCGUAUUUGGACGAGAGUAAUACUAGAUUGAUGACCUCCUGGCUUGUGCUACAUUCC